rnacentral:lncRNA from 1 species
CCACAGGCAGAGCAAACCUGGCCUUGGCCCUGAUGCAGCUGAGAUCACCAGUUAAUUGCCUCAUUUUCUGGGCUUUUCAGAAGCCCAUCCUUCAUCCUGCCUCCUCCAACAGUCUGCAACCUCUACAGCAAGGAGAGAAUUUCCACCUCCCAAAAGAUGGGAUGGAGCACCAAGGGGAUCCAGAUCAGUUCUACAACAGCCAGGACAGAUGCCCAUUCCAAAGCAAUUACUGCAUGGGAGAUGCAAAGUGGCUGGAAGAACCUGCUCAUUCUGGGUCUGUAAUGGAGCCUGUGAGGAGCUCAGCUUGCUGGGGUGCCAGCAGCGGAGGAGCGUUUUCAGCCUCAGGAAAACCACCACAAAAAGAGGCAUCAAGGAGGGAGAAUAUUUCUUGGCACGGGAACCUCGGUGCUCAGGGGAGCGAGGCGUCCUCUGUUAUUUAUUUUUGGCCACCUCUGUGUUCACACAUCAUCAGAACACGAUCCAAGAGACCACGGGCACCCGGCAGCGAGGUGGCUGCUGCUCUUGGGUGACACUUCCAUGUCCACCCAAGCACUCAGGUGAAUUACCCUGCACGGGUUGAGCAGCUCCUGACAGCCCCGUAUAGGUGAGGUGGCUGUGGGACAGGGCUGAGGCACUGCAAAACCACACUCAGCCUCAGUGAGAGCCUGCAAAGAGCAUGGAGCAGCGUUGUGAGCAGUGGUUUAUGGUCUCUAUCAGCUCUUACCCACAAGCAGCCAGCAGGCAUUUUUUAAAGCUGUUUUCCUAUUCCUCCUGACUGCAAAUGCAACCCUGCCACUGGAGCUCUGCUGCCCUGCUGUGUGAGGCUGAACAGGCUGCUGCAUCCCUCACACCUCCCCAAAUUACAGCUAGUCUGGCUGAAGACCACUGCCUCACAGUUCCCCUUGCUUUCUGCCUGGAUAUUUCUUUUUUUGUCACACAGAGAAGACAAAAAUCAGGUGGAGAACGAUGACCCUGAAGGCCUUUUGUGACACAAGAAACCUCUGCAGCUGAGUUACCACAUGUGGUGUUAGGGGGGCACCCAAGUGUCCCCUGUGGGGGUACCAGUCAGUACAGCUGGUUUCUCUGGGGCUGGAUUGACGGCACUUGAGAUGAUAGUUCAUGUUUGGACUCAGGUGUUUAUUAUUUCUUACCAGUAAAACAGUCUCAUCACUGUGAGUUGGGCAGCUUUUCAUU